rfam:Desulfobacteraceae bacterium 4572_187 ex4572_187_scaffold_18374, whole genome shotgun sequence.
GAGGGGAGGCCCCUCGGAACCGGCUUACAGGAGCAGACUUCAAACUAUCUCAAGCUGCUAUGGUCAAAAGCCAUGGUGGUGAGCGUUGAGGAAAAGGCAUGGCAAAGACUGUGUCAGGU